AAAAAUUUAGAUUGUCAAUGAAAUUACCAUAUCAAAUUUACAUUUAAAAUGAAAUUACCAUAUCAAAUAUAUACACAUGUACAGGGAUAGAGAGAAUUAUCAAUUAUCAUAGCAAAGUGUUUUUAACAAUCUCACAGCAAAAAGAAAAAGAAAAAAACACUUCCCCAAUCAUCAUCCAUCAAAAAUGGCGUCUCUGUGCCUCUCUCUCCACCAAACCCUAAAACCCGUGGCUAGACCACUAUUGAGCCACUCCUUCCCAAGAUCCGCCACCGUCUCCGUCCGCCACUCAACCAGACGCGCAACCGUCUCCGCCUCAUACACCCCAACGCCGGCAACAGAGCGCGUGAUAUCAAUCGCUUCCUACGCGCUGCCUUUCUUCAACUCGCUGCAGUAUGGGCGGUUCCUGUUUGCUCAGUACCCUCGACUUGGAUUACUCUUCCAGCCCAUUUUCCCAAUCCUCAAUCUCUACAGAUCGGUGCCGUACGCGAGUUUCGUAGCCUUCUUCGGGCUCUACCUUGGCGUGGUGAGGAACACGAGUUUCACCAGGUACGUCAGAUUCAACGCGAUGCAGGCCGUGACGCUGGAUGUGCUCCUGGCGGUUCCGGUGCUGCUGACCCGGAUACUGGAUCCGGGUCAAGGAGGCGGGUUUGGAAUGAAAGCUAUGAUGUGGGGGCACACGGGGGUGUUCGUCUUCAGCUUUAUGUGCUUUAUCUAUGGAGUCCUCAGCUGCUUAGUCGGCAAAACUCCUUAUAUUCCCUUUGUCGCCGAUGCUGCCGGCAGACAACUCUAAAUUUUUGUUUCAGUCUGUUCGUUGUUUUCCAUUUAGAAUCGGUUGUUUGUGUUUCUUCUUGUAGACUAUACAGUAGAGAGAAGAAGACCAAUCCAAUCUUAUAUUGUUGAGUAAUGUUGUUGUUGUUGUUAAUUUUUGACACAAAGAAAGAAAGUCUAAUUUCUGAUAAUGAUUGUUGAUCGAUCAUAACACUUUUGGUAGUGUUUUGUUGCUUUCUCACCACUGCUGUGGAGUGUAGUUUGUAAAGUUUGCAUUUUUUUAUCUCUCUGCUUUGAUCUCAAUCGUUCUCGUAGCAGAAGAAUGUCAGAGAAAGGAGGCAAAGGGCUCAAAUCCAAAGAUGGAGACAAGGAUGGGAACUCAACAAAGUCCAACAAGGGUAGAAAAAUCCACUUUGAUCAAGGGACUCCGGAACCUAAUUACAAGAUUCUCAACGGUUCUGAUCAACCAUUUCUGAGUUCUGCUCCUAAACCUGCCAAAGGAGAGAAAGCUCCCAAGUCUAGCAAAAGCACUCCGCACUCAUUUGACCUCAAAGGUUUGUAAAAAUCUUCCCAUCUUUGCUUGUGAGGGUCUUGGUUCGUUCUGGUACAGUUUUGGUCAUUGGCACUUUUUAAUCUUCAUUAAUCGUCUGUAUCUGUCGAUGACACGCAUCCUAAGACAUGAGCUUCCUUCACUUGGUGUGGAAAUCUCAUGAAUCUGUAACUUGAAUGCAAGCUGCCUAGUAAACUAGUAAGGUUAUUAACAUAUGAUCCAAGUUUAUGACU